GGGCUCCUACGAUCACAAGGACUCGCACAAUACCCGUCACCGCAUGGUACGGCCGGAGGUGGUACAUGAGACAUGUUGUCUCAUGUAUUGUGUUGGAGCCCAUGCACUCAAGAAUAUUGGCGUUACUAAAGGAGAAGGCUUGUCAAGUCCCGGCUCCAACAGGAGAGGAUUCCGAUUCCAGAUUCAAAUGUAGCUUGGGAUGUUUCAAAGGAUGAUUAAGAAAAUUCUAAAAUAUCUUAGUGAAGCCAUUAGAGACAUUUAGGAUAUAGUAAACAGGAGUGGUAAACAGGUCAGAUCGGUUAUAAACGGAUCGGGUCAUAAACGGAUCGGAUCAGAAAAUGAUCAACCCAA
rnacentral:lncRNA from 1 species